rnacentral:ncRNA from 1 species
GAACGCCGUAUGAGGUGAAAGUCUCACGUACGGUGUGGAGCAGGGGAAAAGGUGGAGAUAAAUUCAAAGUCUUACCUAUUGCUAU